AGAUGGAAGAAAAAUACAACGCCAGCCUUUUGGCGGCCGGAAUGCAUUGUGAAGCCCAACAGUUAAUUGCUGAGGGAGUCGGUUUAGUGUUGCAAUCGUACAAGUUGGACUCAUACGUUCAACGUCUCGCGGAAUGCCUUUUCCAUUUUCAUGAGAAAGUUGAUGACUUGUUGGCUAUCGAAGAGCAAAUUGAUGUCGAUGUUCGCUCGCUGGAGACUUGCGCUUAUUCUGCCAACACGUUUGCUGACAUCUUGUCCAAGAUCCAGAAGAUGACCUGAGUCUUCGUCAGUAUUCGAAUUUGCAACAAUGGGUCACUAAACUAGACGAAGAAUUAGAAAAGCGUUUGGCUUCCGGUGGUGGAAUUGGUGGAAUUCAGGCCUGGACCCCUGCUCUUGAGGGUCGCAAAGAAGUCGACGUCGACUACACCAUGGACACCGAUGCAGUGGAACUUGGCGGCCAGCCCCAGAUCCGCACAAUUAUUCAUGAAAUUUGCGUUACUAACCAGACGAUGUAUCUGCAUCCGCCACUGCCUGAAGCUCGUACCAAGAUCUAUGAUCUGAUGUUUGAUUGGCAAGCCAUUGUCACGUCUUUGACUCGUAUCCAGAGUACCGGUUAUCAAGUUGCGCUAGAUCGGCCUACUCCACAAACCUAUCGAAAUCUACUCACAAACAUGCCAGAUGGCCCGGAAGUCCUGGCUGCCGCGAGUGCCGCCUGUACUGCCAUUGAGGGAAGAAUGAAGGAGGUGAAAGUCUACGUCGACGACUCUUAAGGAGGAUCAAUCUCUCUGGCUAUGAAAACACCCACAGAUGGCUGCGGAGAGAAAGAACGUGGCGUCGGGACUGAAAUUUUCAGGUCAACAUGUUUACGACCUUCCAAGAUGCUGAGGCUCCUGAACAUCAAUCCCGUGUGCAAAUUUGGAUUCAAGAGUAUGAGAAGAAUCGUCAGGUUUUCGUCUUCAGAACUCCAACUGUGGGUACUUUCUACUUUCUCCACCUUGUUACUAGUGCUUGGAUUGCUGUCUCUUUUGAUCCAGAUUGCCUCGUCUUCAUUGCGCUAUAGGUUCGUGCUUAGUCUCCUCGGCUCUGGUAUCUGGAUCGGUAUGUUUGGCGUGGCGAUGAUACCGCGAUCCAUUUGAAACUGAAAGUUAACGUUUUAACUCAUUCAAAACAGCCGAGCCACACCGCGGAACAGUCGAGUUCCGGGAGAAGAUUCCGUUGCAGCUCAUGCCCGUAGGCCAGUUAUAACAAGAGCCAAUACGUUUACCACCGGCAGUUCCAUCGGCCGCGGGGAUGCACCUUACAAGUGUUUGCAAUGCUCCUACAACGUCAGCCGGAGGCAUUUGCUGAAUCAAAACCUCAGCGUCCACGGCCUGCCGCCCGUCGGCCUCCUGGACGGUGAUAACUACGCGUCCAAUUCGGAUGCCAUCGGGUCGGAAGCCGAAGCCGAAGCCGAAGCCGAAGCCGCCGAGGCCAUUAAAAUGGCGGACGACGAAGUGAUGGUGGCCGCUGCUGGAGAUCAUUCGCCCACGCCCAUCUCGGCCUGUUCGCUGUUCGCCUUCCUCGGCCGUCGCGGCCGCAUCCAGCAGCAGAAGGCUACACCCACCUGGGCCAGGAUCCCAACACGAUCGCCCGUCUGCCGGACUCUGCCACGGUUUCGCUGCUGGACAUUCCGCUGACGUGGGUGUCGCGGUGGACGAAAUUUUACAAAAUGUUCAAGUGCCGCCACUGCCCGCACGUCAACGUCCGCUAGAGCAACAUCCAGGAGCACGAGAAGAGACACCAGACGAAGCUGGGCAGCGCUGCCGGCGACAACAUGCACGCCUGCUCCAUGUGCAAUUACCGGUGCAACAACGCCGGCGUCUUGUCGGCCCACGUCAAAGUCCACCAGAACGUGCUGGGCAUCAUCCACGCCCUGGCCGAUCCUUCGAGAUCCGACGAGGAGCAGUUGCGCCAAGUGGCCGGAAGAAUCUUGUUCGUCGCUUUCGUCGUCCGGAAGUGCCUCCCCUCAACCGAAAUUGGAUUUGCUGCUGGGUCGGGCCGGCGAAGACGCCAAAGGUGGCGGCGGGAAAAAAGUUGCACUUUUGCGCUCACUGCCCGGCCGGCUUCCUGGUCGAGACGGAGCUCCUGAUUCACACACACACAACGCUUUCACGGAGUCAAACUGGCCUUCCGCUGUGACGUCUGCUCUUACACGGCCCGCCAAGAGAACCACCUGCUGGCCCAUUGGAUGGUCCACAGUCGCGAAUAUCAAGAAAGAACCAAGGUGCUGGUGGAACAUCACGGCGCGUCUGAACAGCAUCCGCAGCCUCGCAUUUUGGCCGUCCAACCCAACAGCAGUGCGGACGAGGAGGAAGGGGCGAUAGAUUUGACCCGCCGGAAGGAAUCGGAGGUGAAACCCAGUCAAACUGCCAUCACUGCCGAAAAGACUUGGGCCAAUUGCCCGCUGUGUCCGGCUCGAUUCGAUCCGGACAGCAAAGCGCUGAAGUACCACAUCUCUCUGCACGGUGGCAACGGCCCGUUCCGCUGCCGCUUCUGCAUCUACGCCGUCAAGGCCCAGGACAAUUUGAC